rnacentral:tRNA from 1 species
GGUCUUAUGGUGUAAUGGUUAGCACUCUGGACUUUGAAUCCAGCGAUCCGGGUUUCGAGUCCCGGUAGGACCU